rnacentral:rRNA from 1 species
UACGUAGGGAGCAAGCGUUUGUUCGGAUUUACUGGGCGUAAAGGGUGCGUAGGCGGCCUAUUAAGUCAGGGGGUGAAAGACGGUAGCUUAACUAUCGCAGUGCCCCUUUGAUACUGAUGGGCUUGAAUGUACUAGAGGUAGGCGGAAUGUGACAAGUAGCGGUGAAAAUGCAUAGAUAUGUCACAGAACACCAAUUGCGAAGGCAGCUUACUAUGGUAUGAUUUGACGCUGAGGCACGAAAGCGUGGGGGAUCAAACAGG